rnacentral:rRNA from 1 species
CCUACGGGAGGCAGCAGUGGGGAAUAUUGCACAAUGGGCGGAAGCCUGAUGCAGCGACGCCGCGUGAGGGAUGACGGCCUUCGGGUUGUAAACCUCUUUCAGCUCCGACGCGGUAGGGGCAGAAGAAGCGCCGGCCAACUACGUGCCAGCAGCCGCGGUAAGACGUAGGGCGCGAGCGUUGUCCGGAUUUAUUGGGCGUAAAGAGCUCGUAGGCGGCUUGUCGCGUCGACUGUGAAAACCCGUGGCUCAACCAUUGGUCUGCAGUCGAUACGGGCAGGCUAGAAUUCGGUAGGGGAGACUGGAAUUCCUGGUGUAGCGGUGAAAUGCGCAGAUAUCAGGAGGAACACCGGUGGCGAAGGCGGGUCUCUGGGCCGUUUGACGCUGAGGAGCGAAAGCGUGGGGAGCGAACAGGAUUAGAUACCCUUGUAGUC